CGACGGGGAUUAAUCUCACAAAAGCCCAACUUGAAACUGCUUUGUUUCUUUCAUAUUCUUCCUUCUUUGUUUCUAAUUUUCUGUGCACAUCCUUGAUCUGCUCAUAUCUUCCUCCUCUCAGCUUUUACGUACUCCCACAAUCCAACUUUUCUUCCACAUCAAUGUCCGUUUAUUCUCUCUGCUCCUUCUUCUAUCUCCUUUUCU